AAAAGGGACCUCGUUGUCGCUGCCAUCUUCGGAUGGGAGAGGAAAGUCCGGGCAACACAGAGCACCAUACUUCCUAACGGGAAGGCAUCCUCCGGAUGACAGACAGUGCCACAGAAAAGAUACCGCCGGUGCAAACCGGUAAGGGUGAAAUCGCGAGGUAAGAGCUCACGCCGAUGUUCAGUGAUGACAUUCGAGGGUAAACCUUAUGGGUUGAAAGACCAAAUAAACCGAGGCUUGAGGGUUGCUCGCCCGACUCGGAGGGUAGGUUGAUGGAGACGCAAGGUGACUUGCGCCCUAGAUAAAUGACAACAUAGUACAGAACCCGGCUUAUAGGUUCCUUUUUCAC
rnacentral:RNase_P_RNA from 1 species